rnacentral:tmRNA from 1 species
GGGGUCGACUGGUUUUGACAGCGAGUCGUAUUGAAUAGUAAGCACGUCGCGUCAUGAUAUAGACACGCGUUAAACACGAUAUCACAAUUUAAACGGCGAGAAUAACUACGCUUUAGCUGCUUAAUAAUCUGAAUUACAGUAAGAUUUAAGCCUAGUCCCGCAAGGCGGGAAAGCUAAAUGUCUCUUGAAAGCCCUGGUAUACGGCGUUCAGUUUAGAGGCAUCGUAAAAGUAAACCUAGAUUGGUCAACACUUCGAUGUCCUUUCGAAAUUUAAGAAGUUAAGUCACAGGUAUGCAGUUUGCAGUGAGCCUAUGAUCGAAAACCAAAUGUAAACUAAACGUGUAGAAAGCUAUUUAGUAGCUUGUUUGGACGCGGGUUCGAAUCCCGCCGACUCCACAA